UGAGGAAUAUUGGUCAAUGGGCGAGAGCCUGAACCAGCCAAGUCGCGUGAAGGAUGACUGUCCUAAGGAUUGUAAACUUCUUUUAUACGAGAAUAAUAGUCGCUACGCGUAGUGAUUUGAAUGUAUCGUAAGAAUAAGCAUCGGCUAACUCCGUGCCAGCAGCCGCGGUAAUACGGAGGAUGCGAGCGUUAUCCGGAUUUAUUGGGUUUAAAGGGUGCGUAGGUUGUGUUGUAAGUCAGCGGUGAAAACUGAGCGCUUAACGUUCAGCUUGCCGUUGAAACUGCAGCGCUUGAGUACAGUGGCGGUAGGCGGAAUGCGUGGUGUAGCGGUGAAAUGCAUAGAUAUCACGCAGAACUCCGAUUGCGAAGGCAGCUUACCAUACUGAAACUGACACUGAAGCACGAAGGCGUGGGUAUCGAACA
rnacentral:rRNA from 1 species